UCUACUUUCAACUUCUU
rnacentral:sRNA from 1 species